AUUCCCUUAGUAGUGGCGAAUGAAUCGGGAAAAGCUCAAGUUUGAAAUCCGAGGUUUACCUCGGAGUUGUAAGCUGAAGAGGCAUCGAUCGACCCGGUCCGGGCUCAAUUUCCUUGGAACAGGAGGUCAUGGAGGGUGAGAACCCCGUCUGUGGCUCGGGUGCCGUGGUCCUUGUGUCGUGUCCUCGAAGAGUCGGGUUGUUUGGGAAUGCAGCUCAAAAUGGGUGGUAAAUUUCAUCUAAAGCUAAAUAUUGGCGAGAGACCGAUAGCAAACAAGUAGAGUGAUCGAAAGAUGAAAAGUACUUUGAAAAGAGAGUGAAACAGUACGUGAAAUUGUUGAAAGGGAAGCGUUUGGCAUCAGCCCGUGGCCUUUGUCGAUCAUCCGGGCUUCUGCCCGGUGCCCUCGACGAGGGUUGGGCCAGCGUCGACUUUUUGAGCCGGAGAAAGGCCUUGGGAAUGUGGUUCCUUUUGGAGCGUUAUAUCCCUCGGCGUCAUGCGGCUCUGCGAGGUCGAGGUCUGCGGUUUAAUAACCUAGGACGCUGGCGUAAUGGUUCCAAGCGACCCGUCUUGAAACACGGACCAAGGAGUCUAACAUCUAUGCGAGUGUUUGGGUGUCAAGCCCUUCCGCGCAAUGAAAGUGAAUGCAGGCGGGAGCUUUUAGAGGGCCCACCGUCGACCGGUCCGGGGGUUUACCGAAGGAUCUGAGUAAGAGCAUAGCUGUUGGGACCCGAAAGAUGGUGAACUAUGCCUGAAUAGGGUGAGGCCAGAGGAAACUCUGGUGGAGGCUCGAAGCGGUUCUGACGUGCAAAUCGAUCGUCGAAUUUGGGCAUAGGGGCGAAAGACUAAUCGAACCAUCUAGUAGCUGGUUCCUGCC
rnacentral:rRNA from 1 species